rnacentral:rRNA from 1 species
AUUGAACGCUGGCGGCAGGCUUAACACAUGUAAGUCGAGCGGGGUGAUGGUGCUUGCACUAUCACUUAGCGGCGGACGGGUGAGUAAUGCUUAGGAAUCUGCCUAUUAGUGGGGGACAACAUCUCGAAAGGGAUGCUAAUACCGCAUACGUCCUACGGGAGAAAGCAGGGGAUCACUUGUGACCUUGCGCUAAUAGAUGAGCCUAAGUCGGAUUAGCUAGUUGGUGGGGUAAAGGCCUACCAAGGCGACGAUCUGUAGCGGGUCUGAGAGGAUGAGCCGCCAAACUGGGACUGAGACACGGCCCAGACUCCUACGGGAGGCAGCAGUGGGGAAUAUUGGACAAUGGGGGGAACCCUGAUCCAGCCAUGCCGCGUGUGUGAAGAAGGCCUUAUGGUUGUAAAGCACUUUAAGCGAGGAGGAGGCUCUUUUGGUUAAUACCCAAGAUGAGUGGACGUUACUCGCAGAAUAAGCACCGGCUAACUCUGUGCCAGCCGCCGCGGUAA